ACGAACGCUGGCGGCGUGCCUCACACAUGCAAGUCGAACGGAAAGGCCCUGCUUUUGUGGGGUGCUCGAGUGGCGAACGGGUGAGUAACACGUGAGUAACCUGCCCUUGACUUUGGGAUAACUUCAGGAAACUGGGGCUAAUACCGGAUAGGAGCUCCUGCUGCAUGGUGGGGGUUGGAAAGUUUCGGCGGUUGGGGAUGGACUCGCGGCUUAUCAGCUUGUUGGUGGGGUAGUGGCUUACCAAGGCUUUGACGGGUAGCCGGCCUGAGAGGGUGACCGGCCACAUUGGGACUGAGAUACGGCCCAGACUCCUACGGGAGGCAGCAGUGGGGAAUAUUGCACAAUGGGCGGAAGCCUGAUGCAGCAACGCCGCGUGCGGGAUGACGGCCUUCGGGUUGUAAACCGCUUUCGCCUGUGACGAAGCGUGAGUGACGGUAAUGGGUAAAGAAGCACCGGCUAACUACGUG
rnacentral:rRNA from 1 species